rnacentral:rRNA from 1 species
GUGGGGAAUCUUGCGCAAUGGGCGAAAGCCUGACGCAGCCAUGCCGCGUGGAUGAUGAAGGUCUUAGGAUUGUAAAAUCCUUUCACCGGUGAAGAUAAUGACUGUAGCCGGAGAAGAAGCCCCGGCUAACUUCGUGCCAGCAGCCGCGGUAAUACGAAGGGGGCUAGCGUUGCUCGGAUUUACUGGGCGUAAAGGGCGCGUAGGCGGACAUUUAAGUCAGGGGUGAAAUCCCGGGGCUCAACCUCGGAACUGCCUUUGAUACUGGGUGUCUUGAGUAUGAGAGAGGUGUGUGGAACUCCGAGUGUAGAGGUGAAAUUCGUAGAUAUUCGGAAGAACACCAGUGGCGAAGGCGACAUACUGGCUCAUUACUGACGCUGAGGCGCGAAAGCGUGGGGAGCAAACAGGAUUAGAAACCCUGGUAGUCC